rnacentral:rRNA from 1 species
UACGUAGGGUGCGAGCGUUGUCCGGAAUUAUUGGGCGUAAAGAGCUCGUAGGCGGUGUGUCGCGUCGGCCGUGAAAACCUGGGGCUCAACUCUGGGCGUGCGGUCGAUACGGGCAUCACUUGAGUUCGGCAGGGGAGACUGGAAUUCCUGGUGUAGCGGUGAAAUGCGCAGAUAUCAGGAGGAACACCGGUGGCGAAGGCGGGUCUCUGGGCCGAUACUGACGCUGAGGAGCGAAAGCAUGGGUAGCGAACAGGG